rnacentral:rRNA from 1 species
GUGUCAGCAGCCGCGGUAAUACGGAGGAUCCAAGCGUUAUCCGGAAUCAUUGGGUUUAAAGGGUCCGUAGGCGGUCUUGUAAGUCAGUGGUGAAAGCCCAUCGCUCAACGGUGGAACGGCCAUUGAUACUGCUGGACUUGAAUUACUGGGAAGCAACUAGAAUAUGUAGUGUAGCGGUGAAAUGCUUAGAGAUUACAUGGAAUACCAAUUGCGAAGGCAGGUUGCUACCAGUGGAUUGACGCUGAUGGACGAAAGCGUGGGUAGCGAACAGGAUUAGAUACCCCCGUAGUCC